rnacentral:rRNA from 1 species
GCCUACGGGGCGCAGCAGUGAGGAAUAUUGGUCAAUGGGCGAGAGCCUGAACCAGCCAAGUCGCGUGAGGGAGUACUGCCCUAUGGGUUGUAAACCUCUUUUGUCGGGGAGCAACAGCCGGACGUGUCCGGCUGUGAGAGUACCUGAAGAAAAAGCAUCGGCUAACUCCGUGCCAGCAGCCGCGGUAAUACGGAGGAUGCGAGCGUUAUCCGGAUUUAUUGGGUUUAAAGGGUGCGCAGGCGGAUUUUUAAGUCAGCGGUCAAAUCGUGGGGCUCAACCCCAUCCAGCCGUUGACCCUGGGGCUC